rnacentral:tRNA from 1 species
CCUGGUUUUGCUCAGUUGGUAGAGCGCUCCAGUGGUGAUGGAGAGGUCCCUGGUUCGAUACCAAGGAUGGGCG